CACCCCCCCCCCCCCCCCCCCCCCCCCACCACCACCUUUUUUUGUACACUGCUGCUACUCGCUGUUUAUCAUCUACAUGUACAAAUUACCUCAACUAACUGGUGCCCCCGCACACUAACUCAGUACCGGUAUCCCCUGUAUAUAGCCUCCACACUAACUCAGUACCGGUAUCCCCUGUAUAUAGCCUCCACACUAACUCAGUACCGGUACCCCCUGUAUAUAGCCUCCACACUAACUCAGUACCGGUAUCCCCUGUAUAUAGCCUCCACAUUGACUCUGUACCGGUAUCCCCUGUAUAUAGCCUCCACACUAACUCAGUACCGGUACCCCCUGUAUAUAGCCUCCACACUAACUCAGUACCGGUAUCCCCUGUAUAUAGCCUCCACAUUGACUCUGUACCGGUAUCCCCUGUAUAUAGCCUCCACACUAACUCAGUACCGGUAUCCCCUGUAUAUAGCCUCCACACUAACUCAGUACCGGUAUCCCCUGUAUAUAGCCUCCACACUAACUCAGUACCGGUAUCCCCUGUAUAUAGCCUCCACACUAACUCAGUACCGGUAUCCCCUGUAUAUAGCCUCCACACUAACUCAGUACCGGUAUCCCCUGUAUAUAGCCUCCACACUAACUCAGUACCGGUAUCCCCUGUAUAUAGCCUCCACACUAACUCAGUACCGGUAUCCCCUGUAUAUAGCCUCCACACUAACUCAGUACCGGUACCCCCUGUAUAUAGCCUCCACACUAACUCAGUACCGGUACCCCCUGUAUAUAGCCUCCACACUAACUCAGUACCGGUACACCCUGUAUAUAGCCUCCACACUAACUCAGUACCGGUACCCCCUGUAUAUAGCCUCCACACUAACUCAGUACCGGUACCACCUGUAUAUAGCCUCCACACUAACUCAGUACCGGUAUCCCCUGUAUAUAGCCUCCACACUAACUCAGUACCGGUACCACCUGUAUAUAGCCUCCACACUAACUCAGUACCGGUAUCCCCUGUAUAUAGCCUCCACACUAACUCAGUACCGGUACCACCUGUAUAUAGCAUCCACACUAACUCAGUACCGGUACCCCCUGUAUAUAGCCUCCACACUAACUCAGUACCGGUACCACCUGUAUAUAGCCUCCACACUAACUCAGUACCGGUACCACCUGUAUAUAGCCUCCACACUAACUCAGUACCGGUACCACCUGUAUAUAGCCUCGUUAUUAUUUUAUUGUUACUUUUUCUUAUUUUUUACUUUAGUUUAUUAG
rnacentral:lncRNA from 1 species